AUAGCUUGACAGGUUUUGCUGCGUAUGUUCACCAUGGACACCAGAGAACCUGGCCUUCCUGAAUGAAAUUGGAGAGCAGCAGGUUGGGAGGCCUCUUAUAAACUUUAAUUUGGGGAGAGCCAUUGGAAGAAGGAGGUCCAUCUCCCUGUGGUUGUGGCCGUGUCUGUAACUGCUGGUCCUCAUGGCGAAUACUUGGAGGGAGGAAGACACGUUCCUUGGUGACACACUCAGCUUGGGUGCCAAUUCAGGGCAAGUCCCCCUCCAUCCACCCCACUGGCUGUCACCGUUACUGUUUUCACACAGGUCUGCUUGGAAGGAGAAAGCCACAGCUGGUGAGCCUUGGUUGGCUGAGCCAUGUUGAAGACUUUGAUUCUGUUUGUACAUAGAAGUGAGGUUUGAUUGACAUG